rnacentral:rRNA from 1 species
GAUGAACGCUGGCGGCGUGCCUAAUACAUGCAAGUCGAGCGAACGGACGAGAAGCUUGCUUCUCUGAUGUUAGCGGCGGACGGGUGAGUAACACGUGGAUAACCUACCUAUAAGACUGGGAUAACUUCGGGAAACCGUAGCUAAUACCGGAUAAUAUUUUGAACCGCAUGGUUCAAAAGUGAAAGACGGUCUUGCUGGCACUUAUAGAUGGAUCCGCGCUGCAUUAGCUAGUUGGUAAGGUAACGGCUUACCAAGGCAACGAUGCAUAGCCGACCUGAGAGGGUGAUCGGCCACACUGGAACUGAGACACGGUCCAGACUCCUACGGGAGGCAGCAGUAGGGAAUCUUCCGCAAUGGGCGAAAGCCUGACGGAGCAACGCCGCGUGAGUGAUGAAGGUCUUCGGAUCGUAAAACUCUGUUAUUAGGGAAGAACAUAUGUGUAAGUAACUGUGCACAUCUUGACGGUACCUAAUCAGAAAGCCACGGCUAACUACGUG